GUGCUUGCUUCUGCAACACACAUACUAAAAUUGGAGCGAUACAGAGAAGAUUAGCAUGCCCCUUGCACAAGGAUGACACGCAAUUCGUGAGGUGUUCCAUACUUUU
ensembl:snRNA U6 U6 spliceosomal RNA